ensembl:lncRNA
AAGAGAAACAGCUGAGAAGAGGGACGGGGGAGAAGGGCAAAAGACAAAAACCAACAGAACGGGCAGGGAAAAAAAAAUGCAUAUAUCAAUCACCUGGAUCACCUGCUGAGAAAGAAAAAAGAAAGCAAGCAGAAGAGAACAAGAGUAAUAGAAUAAACAACAUCACAAUGAUAUAUGGGAAUAUGACAGUAAAUACUAAAUGUUAAACAUUAUUGUGCAGCACAUAAGAUCAACAGAACACAGUGUGUAUUUGGUACUGUACUGGGAAUAAUAAAUAUAACAAUCCACUUGUUAGGUUAUGCUGAUUAAAGAGGUAGCUGACAGGAGGUCUUUGGAAGCUAGUUUCGCUUUUAAGCAUUCCAUAUGUAAGUGGAAUACAUAGAAGUUAUUUUCAACUUUUAUCUAUAAAUAUAUAUAUAUGUAUGCUAAAACUAAGAGGAGUGCUACUGGAAACUGGAAACUUCUUUUUAAUGUGCAUUUUUUUGGUCACUCUGACCUGUGACGCUUAUUUUUUUUAAGGUAAAUGAAACACAGCAAGAGGAAGUGAAAGUGCACAAUAAAAAUACUGGAUACAACUUUUGAUCCACUAAAAAAAGGAAGAAAAAAAAGACUUAAACAACUUAUUUUCUUAAAACUGUUUGAUUAUUUGCUGUACAUUUUUCCUCAUGCUGUCUACCAAUGACAGCUUUGUUUUUCUAGUCAUAUACUGAAUAUACAAUGGAGUAUUCUUCUUCUAUUGAUCGUCUAUUUUUGUAGCGUACUGAGUAAAUGAAAAGUUAGUUUCCCUCCUGCAGCAUCUUUUCCUGUUUUAUGUGUAAAUAUUGUGAUUUAGAGUACGGUUUUGGGCCCUAUUAACAUUUUGAAAUCUAAACCCGUGGACCACUUUAUUUACACUGUGAGAUUUAUUCCAGUCCAGUAAAAGACUUCAGCCUUUGAUUCUUUUACACUUUUACAAAGCUCUCACACACAUACUGUGGGGUGAUAUUUGUCCCAUGCUUUCAUAAUACUUUGAGGUCAAAAAACACUGAAAAAAAUAGGCACAGCUGUUGCAGUGGCAUGGAUAGAUUUCACAGAUAUAACCAAUAAAGUGGCAAGGGGAGAGUGUAUAUCAUGUUUUGCAUCAUAAGGUAUUCUGUAUGUACAUGUAACUACAUUCAGCUAGACUGAAAUGAUAUAGAUAUGACGUGUGCGUGUGUGUGUGUGUGUUUGUGCAGGUGCCCGUCACUCCUCUGUUUCCUGCUUACUGCAGGUUUCAUCACCACCUCCUCUCCUCAUUCAUUAUUUAUUAUUUCUGUCAUUCCCCACGCAUCAAUUCAUAUUCAGGCUAUGUGUAUUUUGUCAGAGAUGAAACUUAUCUGUAAACUGCAGGUGCAUUCACAACAAUAAAUAGCACUAUUAGGAGAAAACUUGUUUCUGGAACAGUAGAAAUGUCCUUUAAAGCCUCAGUAUGUCUCGGACUUUAUUUCUCAGUACUAAUGGAAAUAAAAUGUUUGCGCAA